UACGUAGGGUGCGAGCGUUAAUCGGAAUUACUGGGCGUAAAGCGUGCGCAGGCGGUUUUGUAAGCCAGAUGUGAAAUCCCCGGGCUCAACCUGGGAAUGGCAUUUGAGACUGCAAGGCUGGAGUGCGGCAGAGGAGACUGGAAUUCCUGGUGUAGCAGUGAAAUGCGUAGAUAUCAGGAGGAAUACCGAUGGCGAAGGCGGGUCUCUGGGCCGAAACUGACGCUGAGGAGCGAAAGCGUGGGGAGCAAACAGG
rnacentral:rRNA from 1 species